AAAAAAUAUCUUAUAGGCCUACUAUUAGGAAUGAAACACUACAGAUUGUGUCAAAGAAAGCGCGCCUGAGCAGUCAGUGUAAUGCUUACUGUUCUUUUUUAAAAUGGUUUAUUUCACAUUUGUUUAUUAUCCAUUUCACGUGCUUUGGCAAUGUAAACAUAUGUUUCCCGUGUCAAUAAAGCCCAUAAAUUGACAUUUAAUUGAUACUGACCGGCACAGCCAAGAAGCAGGACCGAGUUUGAGAAAGCCAGUCUGUUGUUACCCACCUCAAUUUCACGCAACAGCAGCAACCGACACACACAAGCGAAAUGGUGGGUUUUAAGGGAAUUCUCUUUACCGAAAACGUUCUUUGCUGUGUCAAGCCAAAACAGGGCGGACUAGUCAGUCUAUGACUAGCUAGGGUGUUAUGAUAACAUUGGUGGCACUGGUUGUUCUUCAUGCAGGCAUUUACAUGAAUUUGAAUAGUUGAUUGCUAUUUGGUAACUCAGAAGCUAUUUGAUAGCCUUACAUGUUGGCUACAGCGCUUGAGCAAAGGACGUAAUGUAUGCUUAGAAUGGCAGCCUCAUGCUAAACUUCAAGCCAACAUUGAUCUACUGGCUCCCAGAGGCAGGGCCAUAAAAGGCCCCAGCUCACUCGACUGCCCCUCCCCUCUCCAACAGCCAUCAGCCCAGAGCAGCAUGAAGACAGGCCCCCAGAGGCAGGGCCAUAAAAGGCCCCAGCUCACUCGACUGCCCCUCCCCUCUCCAACAGCCAUCAGCCCAGAGCAGCAUGAAGACAGGCCCCCAGAGGCAGGGCCAUAAAAGGCCCCAGCUCACUCGACUGCCCCUCCCCUCUCCAACAGCCAUCAGCCCAGAGCAGCAUGAAGACAGGCCCCCAGAGGCAGGGCCAUAAAAGGCCCCAGCUCACUCGACUGCCCCUCCCCUCUCCAACAGCCAUCAGCCCAGAGCAGCAUGAAGACAGAACAGCUAAACGAUCAUCUGGGAAUCCUCCCUUCCUCAUGGAGCUUUUUGAAGAUUAUGUCCAGUGUCCAUCCUGCCAGCGGCGGUUCAGUGAGAAUGCAGCAGACACAUUCAAUUAUUGUUGGAGGUAAGCCCCGUCCAGAAGGUUCCUAUGGCUCUGUGAAGAACUGUCUGUCAGCAGGGGGACUCAACAAAACAGGAAAGCAGACAACUCCAACUCCAGGAACGAUGCUAAACGCGACAACGAUGUGGAUAAUGGUGGAUAAUGGUGGAAUAAUGGUGGAAUGAUGACAAUGUUCUGCCAUGAGUGCCAUCCAAGUACCCUGUAGACUGGGCCAAGUUCUGUUGUGAGUGUGGAUCCCAGUACCCUGUAGACUGGGCCAAGUUCUGUUGUGAGUGUGGAUCCCAGUACCCUGUAGACUGGGCCACGUUCUGUUGUGAGUGUGGAUCCCAGUACCCUGUAGACUGGGCCAAGUUCUGUUGUGAGUGUGGAUCCCAGUACCCUGUAGACUGGGCCAAGUUCUGUUGUGAGUGUGGAUCCCAGUACCCUGUAGACUGGGCCAAGUUCUGUUGUGAGUGUGGAUCCCAGUACCCUGUAGACUGGGCCAAGUUCUGUUGUGAGUGUGGAUCCAAGUACCCUGUAGACUGGGCGAGAGGAAAGAUAGAAGGGAGGAGGAGGAUAGGAGAAAAGAGAAGUGGGGAGGAGAAAAAUAGGAAAUGAAAUUGAAGGGGGGGGCAGUUUACUGGAACCCUGGGCUAUAUUGGUGUUAUGACACAUAAUACUGUUACCUAGCUAAAAUAGCACAAGGUCAGCCAGGCAUUUUUGGGGGGUCCUAACAUCACAGUCAAUUUGGCAUCAGUUGCCAUAACUUUUUAUGACAUUAUUAGGACAGGGUUAUGUUGGCUUAAUUUCCACUAUAAACACGAUUCCAUCCAGUCUCUAUGAACCAUGGUCUAUAAACCCUCUCCAAUGGAACUCACACUCUCAUCCCAUCCACUCCCUCCCUACCGUUUCUCUUCUCCAUUGCGUAUUCAAUGUGUUACUACUAUUGAAGUGCAAUAUGAUUGACUACUGAUUUUUUUUAAAUGAGUUUUAAGAGUAUUACGAAGCUGAAUGGAAUGUGUCAUUUGUGGGAUGCAUUAUGUUCAUUGGGUCAUGAGUAAAAUUAAAUGUUACGUAUUUGG